rnacentral:rRNA from 1 species
UACAGAGGUCCUAAGCGUUGUUCGGAUUCAUUGGGCGUAAAGGGUGCGUAGGUGGCGCCGUAAGUCGGGCGUGAAAUUUCGGAGCUUAACUGCGAAACUGCAUUCGAUACUGCGGUGCUUGAGGACUGGAGAGGAGACUGGAAUUCAUGGUGUAGCAGUGAAAUGCGUAGAGAUCAUGAGGAAGACCAGUGGCGAAGGCGGGUCUCUGGACAGUUCCUGACACUGAGGCACGAAGGCCAGGGGAGCAAACGGG